UACGGGGGGAGCAAGCGUUGUUCGGAUUUACUGGGCGUAAAGGGCGCGUAGGCGGCCACCGCAAGUCGGUUGUGAAAUCUCCGGGCUUAACCCGGAAAGGUCAAUCGAUACUGCGGGGCUAGAGUGCAGAAGGGGCAACUGGAAUUCUCGGUGUAGCGGUGAAAUGCGUAGAUAUCAAGAGGAACACCUGAGGUGAAGACGGGUUGCUGGGCCGACACUGACGCUGACAGCGCGAAAGCCAGGGGAGCAAACGGG
rnacentral:rRNA from 1 species